UACGUAGGGUGCAAGCGUUAUCCGGAAUUAUUGGGCGUAAAGAGCUCGUAGGCGGUUUGUCGCGGCUGCUGUGAAAACUGGAGGCUCAACCUCCAGCCUGCAGUGGGUACGGGCAAACUAGAGUGCGGUAGGGGAGAUUGGAAUUCCUGGUGUAGCGGUGGAAUGCGCAGAUAUCAGGAGGAACACCGAUGGCGAAGGCAGAUCUCUGGGCCGUAACUGACGCUGAGGAGCGAAAGCAUGGGGAGCGAACAGG
rnacentral:rRNA from 1 species